ACAUGGCAUCAGCAGUUGUUAAUACAUAACAUUUGCUGCAGAGUUAGGUACUAUUAUUACUAUUGCACAGAGCUUCUCUAAUUGGUUUGGACAUGAAUUAGAUUUUUUUGUGUGACAACUUUGAUUGCAAUAAAUAAAUUGCAAGUUUUAUUUGAAUUUUGUCUUAAUUUCAUGGCAGUUGUGUCUAAAGUCUGUAAGACGACACUGGCAUUACAUGAAAACUGGGCAAAUAAGUUGAACAUACCCUUUAAAUAAUACUGCCAAUUUACAUUGUGGCAAAAGUAAUGUAGCUGGUUGUCACGUGGGUUGCUAAUGCCACAUUAGAGGGCACAGUGAAAUGUUGUUGAUAUCACACAUUUGUCUUUACAAGCUGUCCAUUUCGCAGUGAUAACAAAACUUUGAGGUGAUGAAGUACUUUAAAUGACACAUUUAUUAAAUAACCAAAACUGGGCCCACAUAGAUCGUACUACUAGCAGGGCUGGGGUGUACAUUUAUCAUAACUGGGUAUCCUUUGGCUCUGAGUGAGGUACAGGAUUACUGGAUCAAGACUAGAUUAAAAAGAGGUUUUAAGUUGUAUUCAUUUCUAAGCUUUUUGAUAGUCUAUCUGGAAGAUUUUAAAAAUGUUUUACAUUAUGUAACCACUUUUUUUUUUUUUUUUUCUUACUGUAACCCUGUUUUUAAGUAUAGGAAGAACCAGCCUCAUACAUUUGUUAGAGCAUCAUUAAUGAAGUCCUUGACUGCACAUCUCUGUCUUCUGGAGAAAAUUACAGUAGAUGUGCAGGAAUACCACAGCAGUGUGGUUAUGUCAUGAUCCUGGGUCCUUUUGACCCAGCGUUUUGUGUUUUCUAUUAUGGUACUAUGGUUUCUGUUCCUCCUCGGUUUGUGUUCAUGCUUUUCUGCCGUGCAUUCCUGUGGUUAGUCCGUGUCUUUACAUGUAUGUGUUCCUGUUUUAUUUUGAAGGUCUUUGUCUUAUGUCAGAGUGUCCUGUUUACGUUCCCCCACCUCGUCAGCUGUUAUGUCUCCCAGGUGUGUUCCCUCCUGUUUCCCAUCCCCCUGAUUACUAGUGUGUAUUUAUUGUGUGUGUUCACUCGUCCUCGUUGCUGGUUCAUCUGUGUUGUUUCCCUGCGUCUCUCCAUUUGUAUUUCCCCGGACCUUCCUGCACCUUCGUUUGUGGUUUGUUUUGUUAGUUUUACCCAGUUUAGGUUUUCCGGUUUCAUGUUCACCUGCCAUUCCUGUUUGUACCCACUCCUGUAAAUAAAUACUCACCUGCACCAGAGCUGCCGCCUUUUGGGUCCUCUCUACAAACUCCACACGCCUGCCACACCUGGCGUGACAGGUUAAGCCGUGCAAUGCUUUUCACAAUUAUACAGUCAAAGUAUUUGUUUGUUUUUUGCUUGUCUGUUUGUAUUUUUUGCUGAGUGCAUUGAAAAGUAAUUGUUUCCAAUGUCUGAUGGCUUUUUCCGCUGUGACCUUCUGGCUUCUCAACGAUAUACGUCAACCAUUCCUGAAAAAAAGUCAUUUUCCAUCAUUUAUUCUCUGCUAAUAUUUGAAAAAAUACUGUAAAAUCAGAGAAGCCUAUAGAUUUCUCUGGCUAUAAGAAAGUUAGGUUACUCUAAGGAUUAUGUUGAAAAAGGUGCUGGUGAUGCAGUCAAAAACAUGCCAUUACACUUAUACCAAUUGCCACUAGAUGGCAGAAUGAACCAGAAAUUGUUUUUGGAGAGGAUCAAAGUGCACUUUAACGUUUUUGCCUUUGAGUCAAUUUUCACAAACUUUGAGGGUUUUCUGUCUUAAUCUUCGUUUUUGUUUUAUUAGAGCUAUCCGAGCUUAUGAUAAUCCAUUUACCUGGACAUGAAGCUGUGAUGUUAAAUGUUCUGAGCUUCAGUAG